GCUCAAUUGGGAAUCCAGAUAAGCUGACUGGAUUUCUGUUUACCAAAUUUAAAAACAAGCCAUAGACACCGCAGUCAGAGUGAAUGUUUCAGAUCCAGUGACUCUUCUUCAGAACUGGUUGUAGCUGUAUUGUUGGUGUAAAUGCGAGAAAAGAACUGGGAGGGUGACCAGAACUGGACACAGCACUCCAGAAGUGGCCUCACCAACAUCCUGUACAACUGCAACAUGAUGGCCCAACUCUUGUAGUCAAUGGUCUGAGAAAAGGAGGGCCUGAGCAUAACCAGAACAUGCGCCAAUCUCCUUUGGAAUGGAAGGAAGAACAGUGGAAAAGUAAAACUUAUAGUCGGGAUCUUCCCCUUUUUGUCGAGUUUGGAGGAGGGAAACCUAAAGCGAAUGAGGAUGGAAAAUCCCAUCAAAUCUUUCACCCAUCAGGCAGCUGAUUAGCUACUAGCAAGCUUUCUACUGGAAUUACGACCAGACACAAGAAAGCCCUACCAAGAGCUGCCAGCCAACCAGAAACCCAGCAGCUAUU